AACGCCUGCCCCAGCUCUGCAGUGUGACACAGAGCCAACGAGUUCCCACCUGGAGAACAGAGCAAAGGAGAAAAAGACAAUAAGUUUUGUGUAAGAACAGAUUGGAUCCACCACAGGAACACAGAUUCUCACUGAAUGAAGAUAACAGGACGAGGGACGGCCAGGAGGAGGAAGAGGGAGGAGGAUGUGCUUAAUUAUUUCAAGAAGGAACUAGUGACAUGAGCAGCACUCCCACAUCGCUUAUGAGCACAUCGUACAGAACAGCUCUGUCCAACACAGUGCCCCUGGCCUACUCACCGACAACAUACAGGCAACCGUGGAGCUCACUGACGCCGUUGCCGGCUCUUCGCUGGCCCAUCUCUUUCACUUCCAUCCACUUGUCCAAAUGGGGAUCGUAUUUCUCCACACUGGAAAGAGACGCUAUGCCAUCGUUGCCACCCACAGCGUAGACGUGGUUCUGAAAAAGUUGCAUAGGGAAAGUUUGUUUAGAAAACUUACGUAAUACUUGAAAAGCAGCCCUGGAUCCUGGCCCUGACCUGAGAGGAAACAAACUCACCAUGAGGGCUACGGAGCCAACUCCCCCCCGGGGCGUGUUCAUGGGGGCUAUCGCACUCCAUCGAUCGGACUCGAUGUCGUAUCUUUCCACAUCACUGAAGCAUGUGUUGUCAUCUAGACCUCCUAUUGCAUAAAUGGGGCCGCCGAGGGAAGCAAGAGCAAUUCCUCUCCUAAGAGAACCACAGAAUCAAUGCCUCAGUGCAUAUCCUUAAAGGGGAUGGGAAAGACAUCAGGUGCAACAUUAACUGACCGGGAAAGAUUUCCACUCUUCUGCAGCAACACAGGGGCUACCAUGGGCAGAGGGGAGUUGCAUCAUGGAUACUAAGCUGCGCUGGCCUGGCAGAAGUUGUGGAGUCAAAAAUAAAGGGCCGAAGAACCAGCUGUUCUUAUUUAUAGAGUAACACUCGAUGCUGCGAAAUGGGUCACCUGAUCCUCCUCUGCCACCGACACAGAACAGUACACCUGGAGGAGACAAAGGAGGUUUCCAGAGAGCUAGCAGAGAAAAUAGGGAUAAAAUUCUACAGCGGAGUAGACGGUUUCUCUCAGCAAUGAACACUUAACAAGCCUAGGGGAUUAAACUGCAUGCUCCUUUCGGAGCCUACAGGUCGCUGGAGGACAACAGUUUAUGGAGGUGCUGAGGUGAGACGCUCACGAAGUCUUCACACUCCACCACCUCAGUAAAAUGUUCACAGGCGUACUGAUCGGCCAUGUCCAUCAGGUC